AGCGAACGCUGGCGGCGUGCCUAACACAUGCAAGUCGAACGUGAAAAGGGAAACCUGAGUAAAGUGGCGUACGGGUGAGUAACGCGUAGGUAAUCUACCCCAGAAUCUGGAAUAACCUGCCGAAAGGCGGGCUAAUACUGGAUAGAGCGAGGGAACUCGUAAGAGAGUUUUUCGGGAAAGGGAGCCCGCAAGGGCCUUCGUUCUGGGAUGAGCCUGCGUCUCAUUAGCUAGUUGGUAAGGUAACGGCUUACCAAGGCGAUGAUGAGUAGCUGGUCUGAGAGGAUGAUCAGCCACACUGGAACUGAAACACGGUCCAGACUCCUACGGGAGGCAGCAGUGGGGAAUCUUGCGCAAAGGACGAAAGUCUGACGCAGCCACGCCGCGUGAGUGAAGAAGGCCUUCGGGUUGUAAAGCUCUGUCGGAUGGGACGAACAUCUUCAUAGUGAAUAGCUAUGAGGACUGACGGUACCAUCAAAGGAAGCACCGGCUAACUCCGU
rnacentral:rRNA from 1 species